CGCCCUCCGUCCCCGCAGAAGAGUCAGGGAUUGGGCUCCGGAUUCCUGGAGCGGUUCUCCCGACACCGGAGCCAAACGGGAGCAGUCCGGAAGGGCGGGUCUGUAAUCACUGUGGUGCUAAGGAGCACCUUGCUUACCUACCUCCUGGCUGGAGUUCAGGGGUCCUCACUCCUGAGCCCUGAUUUUACAGAAGCUACGUUUGGAAGUGAGGCGUUCUUGGAGCUGAGGGGAAGUGAACCUGGGUUCCUCACCGUGGCCAAGUCGCUUUCUUUCUUUGGGUCCCAGUGAUUUUGAUCUGUCAGAGAAGCGUUUAGGACUUGAACCCGAAGUCUGAUUCUCAGGAUUCCUAAAUCCCCCACCAUUCAUCUGGAAGCAGGAACAACAAAUUGACUUUCUAUCCCUUCAUCUGCUUGUAGUUCUAAAUUAUAAAAGUUAUAUUAUAAGAGCUUGGAAUAGAGCCUUUUCCUAAGAUUAAGAGCUGAAUGGAAACUUACCCAUUUCCUACCCCAGGGCCUGAUGCAGCCAGGGAGAAUCCUUUUUGUCAAGGGACCGAGGAAAGUAUUAGGUUGGGGAGUAUAUUUCUUAGAUCACAGUUGACAAAACUUGUAACUUCCAGGCCAAAUCUGGCACACCUGCAUUUUUUUUUUUGGAUUAAAAAAAAUGUUUAUUUAUUUUGAGAGAGAGAGAGAGUCCCAGGCAGACUCUGUGCUGUCAGCGCAGAGCUGGACGUGGAGCCCGAGCUCACGCAACUGUGAGAUCAUGACCUGAGCUGAAAUCAAGAGUCAGGACGCUUAACCAACUGAGCCACUCCGGCGCUCCAAGGUUUUUCCAUUUUUAGAUAACUAACAGAAACGAAAAGGAUAAUAUUUGUGAUACGUAAAGACAACAUGAACCUGAAAUUUGCCCGCAAAUAAAGUUUUUGGGGGAACGUAGCCGUGUUGAUUUGUGAAGGUAUCUGUGCCUGCUUUUGCACUACAUCAGAAGAGUCGAUGGCAUAGUUGUGACAGAGACUGUCUGGCCUACAAAGCCUAAGGUAUUUACCAUUCUGGGCCUUUGUAGAAGCGUAUGGGGAUUUCUGCUUUGGAAUGGGCAGAAUCAGAGACCAAACAAUGGUGAGCACACCCUGAAAUCAUAGCACAAACCUACUUUCUUGGAAUAAAUGAAAGACUGUUCUCAGCGUUUGGGUUGCAGUUUUCACUGUAUUCUUUUUUUCUCUGUUUUUGCACACUCGGGCAGAGGAAGGACUCUUCUGUGUACUGUGAGCAGUGUAAUAUUGCGGCCCUCGUUCAGGAAAGUGUCCCCGUUGAAUAUUCUAAGUCUGUCCCAGGGCAGUAAUCCAGGAGGGUGGAGACAGUCUCUUUUGGAUUAUAUUUACUUUUGUUUUUUUCUCCUCCAAAGGAAAAGAAAGUCAUGAGAGAUACUGUCUGAUGGAUGGAGCCUGCUGACCAAGUGCUUCAUGCUGACUUCACUGGGGGGUGACUGAACAUCUGGUGACCCGAAACUUCCUCUGCUCUUACGGGGACUAAGGGGACGCCUCUGAGGCUGGGCAGCAAAUCUCUGAGCUCAGGAGUUGAGUCAGGAAGCUUCUAGGAAGACAUUAUUUUCUCCUUCUAGCCUUAUGGAAGCUUGGUUUUCCCCCAGCCCUCGGAUCUAACUUUCUCUGUGGUGACUGCUAACUUGGAUCACAUUGUGAGAGCUCAGUGUGUUUUUCUGAUUAGGUGGACACCUGUCAUGGAGAGAACUGGCGUGACAUGCUGUUGGGGCCACUGAGAGGCCUGGGCAGCCACGGGGACCACGAGCUUCAGGCUUUAGUUGGUAGCUAGGAUGAACUGCUGUGACAACAUUGAGAAAA
rnacentral:lncRNA from 1 species